UACAGAGGUCUCAAGCGUUGUUCGGAUUCAUUGGGCGUAAAGGGUGCGUAGGCGGCGCGGUAAGUCGGGUGUGAAAUCUUGGAGCUUAACUCCGAAACUGCAUUCGAUACUGCCGUGCUUGAGGACUGGAGAGGAGACUGGAAUUUACGGUGUAGCGGUGAAAUGCGUAGAUAUCGUAAGGGAAGACCAGUGGCGAAGGCGGGUCUCGUGGACAGUUCCUGACGGCUG
rnacentral:rRNA from 1 species